rnacentral:lncRNA from 1 species
ACUUGCAACCCAAUGUAAUAUGUUGAAUCAUUUUGGGUGCUAUGUGGCAUUUCCUACAAGUGUCAUUUGUCAGUGUUCUGUCCUUCACUAUGUAUUUUUUGUAGUUUUUUUCAUGUUUAUUAUCUGGUCUUGUAUCGCUAUUAUGAACCCCUCUGUUUCUGUAAAUAGAUUUUCCCUGACUAGCCAGCUGUUUGAUGCUAUGGUGUCUAUGAAGUGUUUCUGAAGAUCAUGUGGAUAUCUGCCACGCAGUUCUUUUCUACACCAGGAUGUUUUCUUUUCUUGUAUGUGUGCAGUGUUGUCUAUUGGAUUUAGAGUGUUGUUCUGGUGUUAAU